rnacentral:rRNA from 1 species
UUCGAGCAGGUGCGAAAGCAGGUCAUAGUGAUCCGGUGGUUCUGAAUGGAAGGGCCAUCGCUCAACGGAUAAAAGGUACUCCGGGGAUAACAGGCUGAUACCGCCCAAGAGUUCAUAUCGACGGCGGUGUUUGGCACCUCGAUGUCGGCUCAUCACAUCCUGGGGCUGAAGUCGGUCCCAAGGGUAUGGCUGUUCGCCAUUUAAAGUGGUACGCGAGCUGGGUUUAGAACGUCGUGAGACAGUUCGGUCCCUAUCUGCCGUGGGCGUUGGAAGAUUGAAGGGGGCUGCUCCUAGUACGAGAGGACCGGAGUGGACGAACCUCUGGUGUUCGGGUUGUGUCGCCAGACGCAUUGCCCGGUAGCUAAGUUCGGAAUCGAUAACCGCUGAAAGCAUCUAAGCGGGAAGCGAGCCCUGAGAUGAGUCUUCCCUGAUACUUUAAGUAUCCUAAAGGGUUGUCGGAGACUACGACGUUGAUAGGUCAGGUGUGUAAGUGCUGUGAGGCAUUGAGCUAACUGAUACUAAUUGCCCGUGAGGCUUAACCAUACAACACCCAAGGGGUUU